UACGGAGGGUGCAAGCGUUAUCCGGAUUCACUGGGUUUAAAGGGUGCGUAGGUGGGCAGGUAAGUCAGUGGUGAAAUCUCCGGGCUUAACCCGGAAACUGCCAUUGAUACUAUCUGUCUUGAAUACCGUGGAGGUGAGCGGAAUAUGUCAUGUAGCGGUGAAAUGCUUAGAUAUGACAUAGAACACCAAUUGCGAAGGCAGCUCACUACGCGAAUAUUGACACUGAGGCACGAAAGCGUGGGGAUCAAAACAGG
rnacentral:rRNA from 1 species